rnacentral:rRNA from 1 species
GAUGAACGCUGGCGGCGUGCCUAAUACAUGCAAGUCGAGCGGACAGACCAUGCGUUUGCUCGUCUGACGUUAGCGGCGGACGGGUGAGUAACACGUGUAUAACCUCCCUAUAUGUCUGGUAUAAUUUCGGGAAUCCGGAUCUAAUACCGGAUAAUCUCUUGAACCGCUUUGUGCGAUAGUGAUUGUCGGUUUUUCUGGCUCUUUUAGCUGGAUCCGCGCCGCAUUAGCUGGUUGGUAAGGUAACGGCUUACCAAGGCUACGAUGCGUAGCCGACGUGAGCGGGUGAUCGGCCACACUGGAACUGAGACACGGUCAAGACUCCUACGGGAGGCAGCAGUAGGGAAUCGUCGGCAAUGGGCGAAAGCAUGACGGAGCAACGGCGAGUGAGUGAUGAAGGUCUUGGGAUCGGAAAGAUCGGUUAUUAGGGAAGAACAAAUGUGUACGUAAAUGUGGAGGUCUUGACGUUACCGAGUCAAGAAGCACCGGCUAACUACGUG